rnacentral:rRNA from 1 species
UACGGGGGGAGCAAGCGUUGUUCGGAUUUACUGGGCGUAAAGGGCGCGUAGGCGGCCACCGCAAGUCGACUGUGAAAUCUCCGGGCUUAACUCGGAAAGGUCAGCCGAUACUGCGGGGCUAGAGUGCAGAAGGGGCAACUGGAAUUCUCGGUGUAGCGGUGAAAUGCGUAGAUAUCGAGAGGAACACCUGCGGCGAAGGCGGGUUGCUGGGCUGACACUGACGCUGAGGCGCGAAAGCGUGGGGAGCGAUCCGG